UUGAUGGUGCUCACUUCAGAUAUAAUAAAAUUGGAGUGAGGCAAAGAUUAGCAUAGUCUCUGCACAAAGAUGACAUGCAAAUUUGUGAAGCAUUUUAUAUAUUU